UACGUAGGGUCCGAGCGUUGUCCGGAAUUACUGGGCGUAAAGAGCUCGUAGGUGGUUUGUCGCGUUGUUCGUGAAAACUCACAGCUCAACUGUGGGCGUGCGGGCGAUACGGGCAGACUAGAGUACUGCAGGGGAGACUGGAAUUCCUGGUGUAGCGGUGGAAUGCGUAGAGAUCUGGAAGAACAUCAGUGGCGAAGGCGGCCUGCUGGGCUGUUGCUGACGCUGAGGCGCGACAGCGUGGGGAGCAAACAGG
rnacentral:rRNA from 1 species